rnacentral:rRNA from 1 species
GGGGAAUCUUCCGCAAUGGACGAAAGUCUGACGGAGCAACGCCGCGUGAGUGAAGAAGGCCUUCGGGUUGUAAAACUCUGUCUUCAGGGAAGAAAAAAAUGACGGUACCUGAGGAGGAAGCCACGGCUAACUACGUGCCAGCAGCCGCGGUAAUACGUAGGUGGCAAGCGUUGUCCGGAAUCAUUGGGCGUAAAGGGCGCGUAGGCGGUUAUUUAAGUCAGUUGUGAAAACUCUGGGCUUAACCCGGAGAUUGCAGUUGAAACUGGGUAACUUGAGUGCAGGAGAGGACAGUGGAAUUCCUAGUGUAGCGGUGAAAUGCGUAGAUAUUAGGAGGAACACCAGUGGCGAAGGCGGCUGUCUGGACUGUAACUGACGCUGAGGCGCGAAAGCGUGGGGAGCAAACAG